rnacentral:tRNA from 1 species
CCGCGCUUAGCUCAGAUGGCUAGAUCACCUGACUGUAGAUCAGGGGGUCCCCGGUUCAAGUCCGGGAGCGCGGACCA